rnacentral:lncRNA from 1 species
AUUUAACAUUAUAUUCAUUUUAGUCAUUUACAUUCUAAUAGUAGUUUAACUACAAGAUUUUCCAAACACAAACGAGUGAUCUUAAAAAUCACAGCACUUUCAAAAAUAAAUUUUAUCAAACAUUUAACUCAUAGCUGAUUUUUUUUUUUAACAUAGUUAACGUCAGCUAUUUUAAAAGUAACAAUAUUAUCAAACUCUUCCUAAAUAUUUACUAUUAGGAACAUGCCGGUUGAUUUUUCCAUCAAGUAAUUAAAUUUUUUUGGACCGUUCAUUGGGGUUGAAGAUAUAAUAUAUUAUCAUACCCUAUUUAUUGCUAUCAUACAAUUUUUAUUUACUUUAAUCGCUAUAAAAUAUAAUUUUUUUACAAUAUCCGUAAAUAUGUUGUAAGUAUAGAAUUAUAACAAGAAGUAAAAGAAUGUGUAUAAGAGCUGAACUAGGGAGCAUGAUGUUAUUACUCCUUGUGAGAAUAAAUCUCAAUUCGGAUAGUAUCAUGGUACAACUUAUACAAGGCGAGAAUUCACAUAUUUAUAGCAAUCAGAGACCAAUACUAAUUAGCCAUGUCAUGCUAGACACGUAAUGCAACUUAAAUACCUAACUUAGAUCGGUUAUUUUCGGUUUGGCUUGUAAUAUGUAUAUAAGCACUUGAUGGUUUAGCCGAGAGUUGGCAAUCUGGGUCAGGAUUUGUUUGUUCAAUUUGAUUCUAUUUGAUACAAACUAAAUAGGUUUGACUUUAAAAAUAUUGAUUUAUUUAAUAAAUAGAUGAAUCCAUUUCGAUUUGCUAAUUAAAAUAAUCGAAACCGAGUUUGAGGAUAUUGAUUCAUUCAUUUGUUCAUGACUCAUGUAAUAAAUUGAUCAUAAGCGAAUCCAAUAUGAACCGUUCCUUU